GCCCGGGUGGCGGAAUUGGUAGACGCAAGGGACUUAAAAUCCCUCGGUUGCAUAAGCCGUGCCGGUUCGACUCCGGCUCCGGGCA
rnacentral:tRNA from 3 species